UGGAGUAAGUGUAGUAGGUGGUGGUAGGUGUAGUAGGUGGAGUAGGUGAUGGUAGGUUUUAACAAUUACACACAAGUAACAUUAUUUACAAAUCUUUAGAUCAAACUACUACUUUUUCCCCCUGUAGCAUACAAGCAUUACACACAUGCAACAUUACUUACAAAUCUUUGUUUUACUCUCAUAUAAGUGUUAGAUCAAUGCUUCUUAUCAUCACCACCCUUACUUUUUCCUUCAGCAGCAUACAAGCAUUCCACACCCACAACCCAGACAGAAGCAGAAAGUAGAAAAAUGGGGAUAGCUCCCAGAAAGCAAAACCGUGGUGUAGAAAUGCGCGAAACUAUGGUCCUGCUUUCGGUGGAAGACUUGUGGACACAUUGGACAGUUUGACAAAUUUGAAACUUACUUGAUUAACAGUGAGAGCCGCAGGCGAGCUAAUAAAUUUGUCAAUAACUUGUUUGACAAGGUUUGGACGUUCAUCAGUGAUGGAUCUUGGAGAGCAGCUCAUUGUUAUGCAGGGAUUGCGUGGAUCUACUUCAAUCACCUGUUGACUCCAUUAAUGCGGAAGCACAAGCUUGUUUGAGUACACUUAUGUGGGCAGCAGCCAAAGGGAUCUCAUGCAUAUCCAUCUUGACUGACUGCCAAGUUUUGGUGGAUGCUCUUAAUAAGAGAUGUGCUUCGGACUGGAAUGCGAAUAUGGUGAAAUAUUUUGUAUUUUGCAAAUUACUUUUAGUUUCUAUGUAUAUCUAAGUUUUCCAGGUCUGUAAUCAAGCCAACACAUCUUGUUGCAAGACAAGCUUUUAGUUAAUUGUGUAUAAAUAAAAUUUUCUUAAGGGUACUAUUGAUUAUAGAAGACUUUAUCAAUCCAGUUCCCUAUUUUUAUC